CCCUCGUUCUCUAUUUUCCUUUUGUUUUAACCAAAGAACUAAUGGUAGCAGCAAGAGUGUUGCCUAGCUAUGCAACCCAAGAGGGGGGGGGGGGUUGAAUUGGGUUACUAAAAAUUUUAAGUGAGGAGUGAAACACAAAAAUUAUAUUAUGAAUGUAAUAUAUAAUGUGAGGAUAAAAGCAAAGGAUGUGCUAGAUACUAACACAAUUAAGUAAGAAAUUAAUGUAAGAAAGUA
rnacentral:lncRNA from 1 species